CGAGAUUCCUAUAUUUUACAACUUUACAAAGGUUAUUGACGAAAAACAACUCCUGAUAACAGUGAUGUGAAAGAUAGAUAAUUUAGAUCUUUCUAAAAGUGACGUUAAGAUCUUCGUUCCCAGGGGUGCAGACGGUCCGUUGGAAUGUAACAUUACAGCAGUGAUGGCCGACAAAAUAAAAUGUGUAUUAAUCACAAAUGACAUUUCAAUAUCAGAAUUAGAGGUGAGAAUUGGACAAUGCAUUAGGAAUCUAAUGGUUCCAUCUACCAACAAAUCCAAUUUAAUUCGAUUACUUGUGAGCCUUGUUAUUCUGGUGAUUUUGAUUGUCAUAUGUUGUUGGGAAUUGAGUCCGAAAGACAAGCAAUUCUCUAAAAAACUGGAUCCCCAAAUGGAGCUCUUGGAAAGUAAAUUCCGGACACAAAUUUGAUAAGGAGGCGAAGGUGAAGAUGGAAGAAUCGCUGAAGAAAUCUGAAUUCGGAUAUAUAAUGCAUGCUAUUUUUUGUUUUUGAUAUAUGCUAAGCCUUUAUAGCUACUU